rnacentral:rRNA from 1 species
GAUGAACGCUGGCGGCGUGCCUAAUACAUGCAAGUCGAGCGAACAGACGAGGAGCUUGCUCCUCUGACGUUAGCGGCGGACGGGUGAGUAACACGUGGAUAACCUACCUAUAAGACUGGGAUAACUUCGGGAAACCGGAGCUAAUACCGGAUAAUAUAUUGAACCGCAUGGUUCAAUAGUGAAAGACGGUUUUGCUGUCACUUAUAGAUGGAUCCGCGCCGCAUUAGCUAGUUGGUAAGGUAACGGCUUACCAAGGCAACGAUGCGUAGCCGACCUGAGAGGGUGAUCGGCCACACUGGAACUGAGACACGGUCCAGACUCCUACGGGAGGCAGCAGUGGGGAAUCUUGCGCAAUGGGCGAAAGCCUGACGGAGCAACGCCGCGUGAGUGAUGAAGGUCUUCGGAUCGUAAAGCUCUGUUAUUAGGGAAGAACAAAUGUGUAAGUAACUAUGCACGUCUUGACGGUACCUAAUCAGAAAGCCACGGCUAACUACGUG